GACGAACGCUGGCGGCGUGCUAAACACAUGCAAGUCGAACGAAGAGCGAUGGAAGCUUGCUUCUAUCAAUCUUAGUGGCGAACGGGUGAGUAACGCGUAAUCAACCUGCCCUUCAGAGGGGGACAACAGUUGGAAACGACUGCUAAUACCGCAUACGAUCUAAACUCGGCAUCGAGGAUAGAUGAAAGGUGGCCUCUACAUGUAAGCUAUCACUGAAGGAGGGGAUUGCGUCUGAUUAGCUAGUUGGAGGGGUAACGGCCCACCAAGGCGAUGAUCAGUAGCCGGUCUGAGAGGAUGAACGGCCACAUUGGGACUGAGACACGGCCCAGACUCCUACGGGAGGCAGCAGUGGGGAAUCUUCCGCAAUGGACGAAAGUCUGACGGAGCAACGCCGCGUGAGUGAUGACGGCCUUCGGGUUGUAAAGCUCU
rnacentral:rRNA from 1 species